rnacentral:misc_RNA from 1 species
CUGUACGAACUCCUCAUGCAUAGGCGAGGACGGGUGAAACAAACCACGCAAACAGGAUCGAGUCAAAAAGGCACAGCUGUACGCCUCUUUACUCUCCUUUUCUCCCCCCAUUCGUGUUGUUACAGCUACAAAAGACUCUGCUUCAUACACCUCCGGUGAGUGUGACCAGCUGUCGGGGGCAUACUCUGUCAGAGAGAGAUUCAAAUUAUCCGUCGUUGUCUGCCUUUCUUGCGCCUUGGACAUUGUGUUCCUUUUUCUCAGUCAUAUCCUUACCAGUCAUAAUAGAACACCAUGAUCACCAAGGCCGAAGCUUCCAAGUGGAGGCUGAGCGACUUGGAGAUGCGUGAGACGGUCGGCACCGGCACUUUCGGCCGAGUACGCUUGGUGAAGCACAAAGGAACAGGCCAGUACGCGGCCCUCAAGAUCCUCAAGAAGCAGGAGAUUCUCCGAAUGAAGCAGGUCGACCACGUGAUGGCGGAGGCAAGUCUUCUCCAGGAGAUCGACCACCCUUUUAUUGUGAGCAUGCUGCGGGGAUACAUGGACAAGAACCGGCUGUACAUACUCCUCGAGUACGUGGUAGGCGGCGAGCUGUUCUCGCAUCUCCGCAAGGCCGGCAAGUUCCCUAAUGAUGUCUCGAAGUUCUACUGCGCCGAGGUGAUCCUAGCAUUUGACUACCUGCACAACAAGACGAUCGUUUACCGCGAUCUGAAGCCGGAGAACAUUCUCCUCGACCAAGACGGUAACAUAAAGAUCACGGAUUUCGGAUUCGCGAAGCGCGUGACGGAGCGUACGUUUACGCUUUGUGGCACACCUGAGUACCUAGCCCCCGAGAUCAUUCAGAGCAAGGGGCACAACAAGGCUGUCGACUGGUGGGCGCUCGGCAUCCUGCUGUACGAAAUGCUGGUUGGCUACCCGCCGUUCUUCGACGACAGCCCGAUGAAGAUCUACGAGAAGAUCCUUGUGGGCAAGGUGCUCUUCCCGCGAUGGGUAGACUCGAAGGCCCGAGACUUCAUCAAGGGCCUUCUAUCCCUCGAUCCCACGAAGCGCCUUGGCAGUUUGCCCAACGGCACGGAGGACAUCAAGAACCACAAGUACUUUGCGGAAGUGGACUGGAAUGUAGUGCUGUCCAAGAAGAUUCCCGCGCCGAUCCCGGUACGGCAACACAAGGAGGGCGAUACCCACUACUUCGACAAGUACCCCGACAGCCCACUCAACUCUUUGCGCACUUUGACUCCAGCACAGCAGGACUGCUUCGCAAACUUCUGCAACGGCCAGUAUACGGACGAGUAGUAUCCCAUUUCUGCCUCCAAGGUUUUGAAGUGCGGAGGGCGGGGAGCGACGAGCACGUGUAGACCUUUCUCACACGCUUAGUUGUGUUUCCCGCCUCCUGCGCCAGCGGCGUUCGUGUUGCGGUCGCGCACACGAACGCCGCUAAGCAUCUCUCCUAAGCUUUCGGGGAAGUCGCUUUGCCUGCAGGUUCCUUUGCAACCGCCGUCGCUCUAUUUUCAUGUUCAGACUGUUUAUUUUUUCUUUGUUUUGUGCCCUUUCCACCUCGAAGUGUUUUUGGCACACGCGGAGUGGGGAGGGUGUAGUGCGUGCGGGUCGCACGGCGAUUUCUCGCCUUCACGAUGUAUGCAUAGGCGUUUCAGAACUCUUAAGUGUAAUUUUGACGAACGCGCAAGCGCAAUGUAUUAUAAAAGACACGCACACACACACAGGGGUUAUUGUGGAUUGUGAUCUCGAAGGGUUGGCGUUGGUGUCGAUGGUGUUUCUAGCUUCUUUUUUUCCGCCUUUCUUUCGGAGUCGGCUCUGAUUCCUUUUAGACAGUCGAAUAGGCGGAUUGCUGCGUUCUCAAUGAUCAAUGUACGCGCAAAGUGCAGCCAGUAGAGGGUUCGAUGCCAUGACUUUCGUCCGCUGAUCUUUACAGUCUCUCUUUUUGUUUCUCCGGCGACCUUCCCCCCUUUCGCGUGUGCCCCCUUUUUCACUUUCUUUUGAUGAGAAGGAGCUUUCCUCUGAGCCCUCUUUCACCUUUUUUGUUCCCCUCCGCUGCCGCUGGAUGAAAGGUCUGCGCGUGUGUUCGUGAUGGCAAGAGGAAAGGAGCACAGGAUGCGGAAAAGGGCAGAGUUGGAUGUGACAGGCAAUGAAAAGACCUGGGAGGCCGCCACCGCAGAUUUUGUUCACGACGAUGUAGCUGUAGCCGCGUUGAUGGAUAUCUUGUAGAGCGGCGAUAUAAGUCAAACGCUGGGGGGGGGGGCUGAUGGGGCUGCCUCUCCCUCUCCUCCUUUGCUCCUUGCUUCUCCUGGUUUUAUCCCUCCUGGAAUCGACUUGGAAUUUACACACAUCAACAUACUCAUGUGGUUUUAGGUGCUGCCCUUUUCCCGCGUCCUCUCUCCUCCACAAAUGAUUAUAAAAAGUAAGGUGUGCCUCUUGUCAUCAGAAAACAAACGGGAAAAAGGAAAUCCACAUCAACGCACAUUCUCGAGACUGUGCGGGAGUGCGCUUAUGUGUGCCGUGCGUAGAAAAGGUAUUGUACCCGCUGCCUUGUAUAGCUUUCGGUAAAUAUGUACAUUAUUCGUGUGUUGCCUUGGCUCUUCUUCUACCCUCCUGUGUCUUUAUUUGUUUCGCUCUCUCUUCCUCUUUCUACGGACGUUAAAACGGCCAUUUUUUUUUUGCUCUGUCCCUCUUUUUCGACUCCUUUUUCUCAUAUUUGCUCAGGUUGCUAUCUCCUCUGAUCCGAAGCUCUCUUUCUCCUUCCGCUUUCCUCGCGUUGCUUCCCCCACCCGCUGUCCUCUCCGUCCCCCCUUUUAGCUGAUUUAACGGUGAUGUCUGGAUGUCCCCCUCUUUUUGCGCAUGUUUGCCGAUUCCAUCAUGUCUUUCAGCUCUAUGUGUUGCUCCCCAUUUCUUUUUUUUUGCGGUUCACCCACCGUUUAUACAUCAGUGAGAAGAGUACAUAUGAUGUUGAGAGAUGGCGAUUAGCUCCCUUCCUGCUCUUUUUCUGUCUUCCCAGGAUGCAAAGCGAACCGAAAGGAGAGCGUGAAAAGGGGGAAAACUCAAAGCGCCACCCCCCGAAGAAAAGAAAACGAGCCAUGCUGAAGCGCCUUGACUCAUACAAGAAAGGAUAGUGGAGGAGGGGAAAACGCGGAGCUGACAUUGUAAAACAAAACGGUUCGCACCUGAUAAGGAAAGGCAAGAAAAGCAGAGAACAAAAGGUGGUCGCAUAUAGGCAAGCAAGGAGGAAGUGAGUUGACAAGAGACAAAGCAAGGGAAAUCUGCCGGUGUUUUUACAUGCGAAGCAGGCCACCGAUCGGUAGACAUUCUCCCAUCUCCCCUCUUCUUUUUUCAUGUAGUACCUGUGACGAUUACGUGUGGAAUACUUCAGAGGAGACCGAACACAGAACAGACGAGGAAAAAAAAGGAAGCAGCGAGGGGGGCUCAUCUUAGUGAUAGAUGUGCAAAGCAUUAGGCGUGAAAUGAAUGUGUACUGUGGGGCGUGUGCUUUCCCACAAUGCCCCCUUCUUCGAUUGCUUCAUCUUUGGCGCAAAGAGACGCCGCUUUCGAAAUAAGAAUGUUGUGAUGUUCCUGUUUCCUUUCGUGCUUUUGAACGUUUUUUUUUUCGCUUUCCUUUUUCGUAGGGGUAACAGACCACAUUCUUACAUCCCCUCAUACACACAGCUACACCCACGUUAAUAGCCCGAGUGCGCCGUUUCGUUUUACAUUCUAUGUGCGAUCAUUGAAAGCUACCUCUCUCAGACAAUC